CUUCCUUCCUGCGAGGUGGGUCUUGCUUCCAGGUAUUGGAGGAGAGAGGAGCUUGGUCAGCCCAGUCUGGAGUGGCAUGCUCUUCUUGGUUCAGCCCAAAGACACAGGCUUCUAAAGCUCACCAACAACAAAAAGCUCAAUCUCCCGUCAGAAGAAUGUAGGAGUCUCUUCAACAAGAGUCCCCAGAGUAAGCAUCUCCCUUCAGGCCGAGUCUCCAAUGCAGGAAUCUAAAUCCCUUCAGCAAGUCCAAGAGUCCCUUCAGCAAGGACCACCAGCACAAGAGGGAGUCUCUUCAGUCUGCAUGUCACCAACCCAAGUGAGAGCGUCUCCAGCCAGAGUGUCACCAACCCAACUCCCAUGGAAUCAAGAUAUUCUUUUGAAAAGCACAUCAUACCUUCCUCAAAGUAAGCAAGAUUUUGAAGAAAUAUCGCAUAGUAUAUUUUUAUACUACAGACUCUUUUGCCCUUGACAUGAAAUGUCUUUUUAACAAUAACUACUACACUACAGACUAAAACUCAUCUCUUGUUUCAUGUACUUUCUUAUGUGCUCUGACUGUAAAAAUAAAAAAAAGGA